rnacentral:rRNA from 1 species
UACGGAAGGGGCGAGCGUUGUUCGGAAUCAUUGGGCGUAAAGGGCGCGUAGGUGGUUCUGUAUGUCUACCGUGAAAGCGUACGGCUCAACCGUAUUUUGUCGGCAGAAACUGCAGGACUUGAGGCUGGGAGGGGCUGGUGGAAUUCCCUGUGUAGCGGUGAAAUGCGUAGAGAUGGGGGAGAACACUCGUGGCGAAGGCGGCCAGCUAGACCAGUUCUGACACUGAGGCGCGACAGCGUGGGGAGCAAACAGG